AUACGUAGGUGGCAAGCGUUGUCCGGAAUUAUUGGGCGUAAAGCGCGCGCAGGUGGUUCCUUAAGUCUGAUGUGAAAGCCCCCGGCUCAACCGGGGAGGGUCAUUGGAAACUGGGGAACUUGAGUGCGGAAGAGGAUAGUGGAAUUCCAAGUGUAGCGGUGAAAUGCGUAGAGAUUUGGAGGAACACCAGUGGCGAAGGCGACUGUCUGGUCUGUAACUGACACUGAGGCGCGAAAGCGUGGGGAGCAAACAGGAUUAGAUACCCUGGUAGUCCACGCCGUAAACGAUGAGUGCUAAGUGUUGGGGGGUUUCCGCCCCUCAGUGCUGCAGCUAACGCAUUAAGCACUCCGCCUGGGGAGUACGGUCGCAAGACUGAAACUCAAAGGAAUUGACGGGG
rnacentral:rRNA from 1 species